rnacentral:rRNA from 1 species
GACGUAGGGCGCGAGCGUUGUCCGGAUUUAUUGGGCGUAAAGAGCUCGUAGGCGGCUUGUCGCGUCGACCGUGAAAACUUGGGCUCAACCCUAAGCCUGCGGUCGAUACGGGCAGGCUCGAGUUCGGUAGGGGAGACUGGAAUUCCUGGUGUAGCGGUGAAAUGCGCAGAUAUCAGGAGGAACACCGGUGGCGAAGGCGGGUCUCUGGGCCGAUACUGACGCUGAGGAGCGAAAGCUAGGGGAGCAAACGGG